UAGUGCGAAGAGUGAUAGAGCAAGGAAUUAGUAAGUUAAUUCAGACAAUUGCAUUGUCCAGUCUGGAGAAAAGGAGCCUAAGUGACCUCAUUGCUCUCUGCAGCCUUAUGAGGAGGAGAAGCAUAGAGGAUGGUGCCAGGCUCUGCUUCUGGGAAAUGACGCAAACUGAAUACCUGAGUAUGGGAAACACGUGAAUCCUGGCAUAGCAUUGCUUUUGAUUAGGACUGGAAGCCUGAAAGCCUAAACAAAGAAAAUACAUCAAAAGGGGGAUAUGAAGCAGAGGAAAGCUUUAAGAGAAAGGUAGACUCAUAUCCUUACAGACGCUGUGAAAUCUAGUCUGCAUUGAAUUACCUGUUCCUUUUAUGUAACCUAUCUUCAACUUCACUGAAAUGCGUCAUUGUACCACAACAAGACCACCUACAAAUGGCAGUGAGAUGGAGGUAGAGCUUUAUCUGGCCUCGGAGGGUAUGAAGUAAGGAACCAUGAGAACCACCCACUAAGGCAGCCAGUCUCUCUUCUGGUUUCAAUGAUUUGAAAUUUAAAUGACUUGGAUAUUGCUUCAAGAAAAUUUUUGCUUGGAUGGGUUCCUCAAGUCUGAGGUGCAGUGCAGAUGGCAAAGCAGCUGUGCUUUCUGGAGACCUCAUUUAUAUUUUCUGAUGGCUUGGACAGCUGUCAUACAGAAAAUAUAUCAGAAAACACUAGGACACUGCAAACUGUUUCUUUUAUAGCGUAAACCAUUCCACGAAUGUAGUAAAAAUGUGAUGAUAUCCAAGGUAAGCAGUUAAUAGAUUUGGGAGUCACAAAACAGAAUGAAAGAAGGAAGUUGAAUAAAACAACAAAGUUGGCAGGUUUUGUUUAGUGAGUAGCUGUCUCGGAUUUCUACUAAAGCUGUUAUUUCUGUCUCUCUGCAGACUUAGGUGACAAACACCGUGUAUAGUUUAUGCCACCCUGACUAGACUUCAGGGCAGGCCCUGUGCUGAUUCAUAUCUAGGAAGUUUUAUGAGAGAUUAAGUUUUAUGAGAGGGUCUAUUUUUAUUUCCUGAUAAGACAUAGGAAAAUUGAUGUGCUUGUGAGUGCUGUAGAGAUCAUAGAGCAAUAACAUUAAUUGACAUGGUUAUUAGGGGUUUUUGCUUGUUUCUUUGCUUUAUCAAAAUGUAUGUCUUAACAGAAUGUGCAUACCUUGCACAAAAAUAUCACAGAGUUAAUGGAAACUUAAUAGGAAAUGCUCCCACCAAAGACUGGCUGUAUCCAUUAACUGAACCUAAAGGAGUCUGUGCAGUUUUAAAAGUUGCACUCAAGUUGCAGCUGAAUCCUUCCUCAGGGUGAAUCAGCAUGAACUGAGCAGCUGGAAGGUUCCUCGAGAGAGUGCAUCAGCUAUGCUAAAAUUAAAAUAAAAUGUUCUUUCUCUGUCUGCACCAACACCGGUUCAUCCCAUACCAUGUGGCAUACAGUGCUAUGGAUAAGGUCUGUAUCUUAAGCUUAAGCUUAACAGAAUGAUGCAGCCAAAAUCACCAAAACACAUGGAAGGAGGGUAAGUAUGAGCAGGUGAACAAGCUGUGCUGUUGAUCCUGCUGUACAGUAGAGGUUUUAUGGAGGUAAAGCACAAAGCCAGUGUCGGACUUGAGCUAUUCAGUGGCUAUUUCCGACGUCAAAAUCCUCGCUUUCUUAUUUUUAGGCAAUAGGAAAAGUAGAAGAAUUUGUGAAGUCAUGAUGAAGCCCAAUAAAAGCUUUGAUAUGAUCUACUGUACAACUGAGCUUGAAUGUUAAUAUCUGGUGGCCUCACUCAAGAGGUCUUUGAUUCCAGUGCUUGUUCCAGCAAGCAUUCAAUAUGCAAAUUCUGCAAAUUAUGUGGAAAAUAUAAAUUAUGUAUAAUGUGUAAAAUAUGUAAACUAAACAACGCUUUUGCUGGAGAAAGGGCUUGUCAUCAAGAUUCCCUUGCCAAUUCAAUUGAUCUGAUCAUUAAGAACCAUUCUUUUUCAGGGUUAAAAUUAUUCAACUCAAAUCAUGACAGCUGCAGACUGGAAGCUUAAUUUCCAUUUCCUCCAGCAGGCUUGAGGUUACCAAGCUCAUCCCAGUGUGGCCUGGUUCAGCUAUAAGAUAGAAAGGACUAGAUAGAGGCCUGAAGCCAUGGUCAGAUAGAGCUGACUACUCUUCCCCCAGAGGGCAAAUUAACCCCUCCUGCUCCAUGCUCUAUGUGUCAGAAUCAGGAGAAAGGUAUGUGUACACCAGUUGAGUGCAACUGGUCCAUCAGCCUGUGUCUCUGUUACAUACAACCUGCCCAGCUGCACUCGUAAGAGCUCUGCUACAAGCACAUCACCAAGGCAGUCAGACUGAAUUCCACAGCAUGACUCAAGACCUGCUGGUUCCUUUUGCUUCCCUGUCAAGCUCACAGGAUCUGUUUCAAAUACCAGAUGAAAAUACCAGAUGAAAACUUUAGAGGUCUGCCAUUAAUAUUUUUUUCAUAAUACUUUAUUCAGGACACAGGAUUCUUUCUAGAUUUUCAAGGAUGCAAAACCUCUGACUACAGGCAUGCUAGUUCUCUCCAUGUCUUUUAUAAAAGAGACAAGUACAGUGUGAGGGCUUUUAUUCUUCUAGAAAUACACGGAGCUGACUGUUUACAGAAAUGAGCAGUAGAACAGAAGAAUAAUUUGACAGAUUAAAAGACAUUGUACACCGUGAGAAUUAUUAUUUUUUUAAGAAUAAACAAUGUGAUUAGGUGGAAAGAGAAUGAUGUGUUACUUGAUUUGAUGACGAAGAACAGAAAGAUAUUAUUGGCUCUUUGAGGCAGAAUUAUUAGAGAGAGAAAUAAAAAUGAAGAAUAAAAGAUUAGAGUCACAUCUUGUUUAUACAAAAAUCCCUCACAGUUUUUUCCAUAAACAAAUAUUGUACAAGUGGCAGAUUUAUAAAAAUAAAUGAAGUUUAAUUAAGAGAAUGCAUUAAUUAGGUUGUCCAAAAAGUGUCAAAUAGCUCAGUUAGCAAUAUUAAAAUCUCGUGAACAAACAUAUGUGCACUUAACUUUAUUUGGCCAUACAAAGAGUGAAGAAAUUGCCAAUUAAUAGAGUAGUAUUUCCAAGGGGAAAAUAAACUGUGAAGUAUAAAAUGAAGCAACAGUUGAUAGAAGAUCAAAUGGAAACUACUUUUCAAUUAUCUUCUGUAUGAAUUCAAAGUAGUAUAUUUUUCAAUUGUAGAAACAGCUGAAACAUUCAUAACAUGUUUCUUCCAGCUGUCAGAAUCAUGGCCUGGGUGACAUUUAGUUUAUAAUUGUUGUUUAGCAUUUGUCUUUCACACAGUAAAUGGCGAGUUAAUUCUUUUACCCUCUAAGUACAAAGGACAACCUGGAGCAAUGUCCAGAGCCCUUGUGCGUUUGUUUUGUUUUUCAUUUUGUUAUGCAGUCUAACAAAAAGGCUUAAAAAAAGAAAAAAAAAAAAAGGAAAAAGAGAAAAAGGUUUAUUUUGACAGUUCUUAUCUGGGGACAAAUGCAUUCCCAAGGAAACAGAUGUUUCUUUUCACUUCUGUGGGAUGGUAAUGGAGGUGACUAUGCAACCCGCUCAAUUUGCUUGGGUUAAAGGCCAGCAGCAGGCAGCUGUCUUCCCUUCUGCAAGGGGACAGGAAGGGACAUCGCAAGUAAAGAAGCACCAGCACCACACAUGCAGUAUGGCACCACACAGUGCUCUCAGCUCAAACAGCAGAGCUACAGGCACUACCUGGUUGAGAGAGUAAAGCCCAGGAUUCCAUUGUUCAGCAGCUAAAUGUAACUUUUUCCUUAGCAUCAUUAGUGUAUUCUUCGUAUCAUUUGCAUAGACGCUGUUAACACUGCAGAGGUAACUAUACUAAAAUAUGUUAUUGGCCUGGUUCUGUUUUUUUCUGCAAGCAAUCAGCACUGGAAACCUUGAAAGAAAUACUUCAGGGAAGCUCUAAGAGGAACAGCAAUAGACACUUCAAUCUCUCUUUAACUAACAUGGCAUGGCUUCAUCGCUGCUUGAUGAAGAUGUAAAGAAAGAAAAAGCCAAUGAUUUUUAUUUUCUAAUUGAAUAAAUUAUCUUUUCUAAUUUAAUAGAGUGGUCUUGUUAGCUACAAAAAUGCCUAACGCUUUAGAGUUUGCUGGCUUUCAUGUCUUUUUCCAUUUGUUUUAACCUAGUUAUCAUAAGCAGACAUGAAAUUUAACACCCCCUCAUUAAAAUAAAUGUAAUGUUGUGACAUAAACUGACAGAAGCAAGUAAGUCCCAAGACAGUGUUCUUCUCAACCUCCUCUCAAUACUGCCAAGAUACGAUAUAAAACACAAAUUUUCACUCACAGUAUUUAGAAGCAGCAGGGUUAACACAAAAAGAGGUCUAAAACUGUUAUUAUCCUGUUUUUAACCUGGAACUCCAUGGAUGACUAGCACAUGCUUCAGGAUACCUGCAGGGACAGCAGUGAUUGUGACUGGGGUGGCAGAGUGGCUCCCUUCAUUCCUCUGGGACAAAGGUCUCUGGCAGAGGUGGCAUUUUAAAAUGGCAGCAAAUUAACCUGACAACAAACAGACACCAAAACCAGAAGGAAAGCAGAAACAAAUUUACUUAUGAAUUUUUAAUCUCUUCGGUUACAUUUUACCUUGUUGAUAUUAUUACAUGGCUCUUUGAUAUACUUAAAAUGUACUAUACUUUUAAUAGUCAAAUGGAAAACUCUGCAAGAUUUUAUUUUCUGUUGUCUCAUUCCAUUGUGCCUCCCUUUACAAGAUAAAUGCACAGAUGAAUAGUGGAAAUAAAUUAUUAUUCUUUGACAAGAAGCCUCGUUAAACAUC